AGUCGAGCGGGCGAGGUUGCUUCGGUAACUGAGCUAGCGGCGGACGGGUGAGUAAUGCUUAGGAAUCUGCCUAUUAGUGGGGGACAACAUUCCGAAAGGAAUGCUAAUACCGCAUACGCCCUACGGGGGAAAGCAGGGGAUCUUCGGACCUUGCGCUAAUAGAUGAGCCUAAGUCAGAUUAGCUAGUUGGUGGGGUAAAGGCCUACCAAGGCGACGAUCUGUAGCGGGUCUGAGAGGAUGAUCCGCCACACUGGGACUGAGACACGGCCCAGACUCCUACGGGAGGCAGCAGUGGGGAAUAUUGGACAAUGGGGGAAACCCUGAUCCAGCCAUGCCGCGUGUGUGAAGAAGGCCUUUUGGUUGUAAAGCACUUUAAGCGAGGAGGAGGCUACUGGUAUUAAUACUACCGGAUAGUGGACGUUACUCGCAGAAUAAGCACCGGCUAACUCUGUGCCAGCAGCCGCGGUAAUACAGAGGGUGCGAGCGUUAAUCGGAUUUACUGGGCGUAAAGCGUGCGUAGGCGGCUUUUUAAGUCGGAUGUGAAAUCCCUGAGCUUAACUUAGGAAUUGCAUUCGAUACUGGGAAGCUAGAGUAUGGGAGAGGAUGGUAGAAUUCCAGGUGUAGCGGUGAAAUGCGUAGAGAUCUGGAGGAAUACCGAUGGCGAAGGCAGCCAUCUGGCCUAAUACUGACGCUGAGGUACGAAAGCAUGGGGAGCAAACAGGAUUAGAUACCCUGGUAGUCCAUGCCGUAAACGAUGUCUACUAGCCGUUGGGGCCUUUGAGGCUUUAGUGGCGCAGCUAACGCGAUAAGUAGACCGCCUGGGGAGUACGGUCGCAAGACUAAAACUCAAAUGAAUUGACGGGGGCCCGCACAAGCGGUGGAGCAUGUGGUUUAAUUCGAUGCAACGCGAAGAACCUUA
rnacentral:rRNA from 1 species